ACGUAGGGUGCGAGCGUUAAUCGGAAUUACUGGGCGUAAAGCGUGCGCAGGCGGCUUCGCAAGUCAGACGUGAAAUCCCCGGGCUUAACCUGGGAAUGGCGUUUGAAACUACGGAGCUGGAGUGUGGCAGAGGGAGGUGGAAUUCCGCGUGUAGCAGUGAAAUGCGUAGAGAUGCGGAGGAACACCGAUGGCGAAGGCAGCCCCCUGGGCUGACACUGACGCUCAGGCACGAAAGCGUGGGGAGCAAACAGGA
rnacentral:rRNA from 1 species